rnacentral:rRNA from 1 species
GUGUCGCAGUUAAAAAGCUCGUAGUUAGAUUUCGGAGUGGGCCAGUUGGUCCGCCGCAAGGUGUGUUACUGACUGGUCUGCUCUUCUUCGCAAAGACUGCGUGUGCUCUUUGUUGAGUGUGCGUAGGAUUUACGAGGUUUACUUUGAAAAAAUUAGAGUGUUCAAAGCAGGCUAUUGCUUGAAUACAUGAGCAUGGAAUAAUGGAAUAGGACUUUGGUCCCAUUUUGUUGGUUUCUAGGACCGAAGUAAUGAUUAAGAGGGACAAUUGGGGGCAUCCGUA